rnacentral:rRNA from 1 species
GACGAACGCUGGCGGCGUGCUUAACACAUGCAAGUCGAACGGAAAGGCCCUGCUUUUGUGGGGUGCUCGAGUGGCGAACGGGUGAGUAACACGUGAGUAACCUGCCCUUGACUUUGGGAUAACUUCAGGAAACUGCGGCUAAUACCGGAUAGGAGCUCCUGCUGCAUGGUGGGGGUUGGAAAGUUUCGGCGGUUGGGGAUGGACUCGCGGCUUAUCAGCUUGUUGGUGGGGUAGUGGCUUACCAAGGCUUUGACGGGUAGCCGGCCUGAGAGGGUGACCGGCCACAUUGGGACUGAGAUACGGCACAGACUCCUACGGGAGGCAGCAGUGGGGAAUAUUGCACAAUGGGCGGAAGCCUGAUGCAGCAACGCCGCGUGCGGGAUGACGGCCUUCGGGUUGUAAACCGCUUUCGCCUGUGACGAAGCGUGAGUGACGGUAAUGGGUAAAGAAGCACCGGCUAACUACGUG